AGGUAUAACUCAAAACUCACAAGUGGAUACUAUGUCGUUUGAAGUUCUUAGCCUUAAAGUAGCAGGCCCAUCUCCUGCUUCCAAAACGCAGCAUUCGUUUCUGCUGGUAACACUGUAUCGUCCUCCUGGACCCUACUCAAAUUUUAUUAGUGAAUUUGCUGACUUUCUAGUAGCAGUAACUCUUCUUUCUGAUAAGGUCGUAAUUGUUGGAGACUUUAAUAUCCAUUUUGAAAAGGAUCAAGAUCCACUAAAAAUUGCUUUUAAAUCAGUUUUAGAUGCUCUAGGUUUUAAACAAAAUGUAAUUGGCCCCACUCACCGAUGUAGUCAUACAUUAGACUUAGUUUUGACACUGGGUAUUGAGGCUGAGAAUAUAGUUACUCUUUCUCAACAUGACUCAAUAUCCGAUCACUAUUUAAUUAUGUUUGAAAUAGUUUUGAAUCAAAAUAUCCUCCUCCCACCCCGCUAUAUCAGCAAGCGUAAAGUAACAACAUCAAUUGCUAAUGAAUUUGUAAAUAAUCUCCCCGACUUAACCAUCUCCCUUCCGUCCUAUGAGCAUGAUCUCGAGCACAAAACAGAAAAUCUACAAACUGUGCUCCGCUCUAACCUUGACCGCGUUGCGCCAACAAAAAUAAAACAAAUCAGGGAUAAAAAGCUAGCACCGUGGUAUAAUGACCACACACGUACACUAAAACAAACCGCUCGUAACUUUGAACGUAAAUGGCGACACACAAAACUAGAAUUUUUCUGGCUAGCAGAAGUAUAUUUCAUCGCUUAUUGAGAAAAAUAGAGACAACCCUAGAUUCCUUUUCACUACUGUGGCUAAACUCACCGGCAGUCAAAGCUCCGUUAUCCCUGUCGACAUUAAUAGUAAUGAUUUCAUGAAGUUCUUUGAUGAAAAAAUGAAUAGCAUUAGACAAAAAAAUCAGUAUCACUCCCAAAAUUUACUUAUAGAUAUCGAUGAAUGCUGCUCCAGCUCUGAGACACACCUAGAGUGUUUCAGCCCGGUUACAGAAAAAGAUUUAUUUAGUGUAAUUAACUCAUCAAAAUCAACAUCAUGUAUAUUAGAUCCAGUACCCACACAAUUAUUAAAACAGGCACUGCCAAAGGUGGGAAAAUCAUUACUAGAAAUAGUAAAUUCAUCCCUUAGCAUGGGCUACGUACCUAAUUUUCUUAAAUUGGCGGUCAUUAAGCCCAUUAUCAAAAAGCCAAAUCGGGACCCCCGCGAGCUUGCUAAUUAUAGAACAAUUUCUAAUCUUUCCUUUAUAGCCAAAAUCCUAGAAAAAAUUGUGUUUAACCAGUUGCGCUUGUAUCUACAACGUAAUAGUAUGCAUGAGGUUUUUCAAUUUCAAUCAAAACCAUAGUACUGAAACAGCUUUACUUAGAGUAACUAAUGAUUUACUUUCAGCUCUUGAUAGGGGCAGUAAUGCCAUCCUUGUACUGCUAGAUCUGAGUGCUGCCUUUGACACCAUAGAUCACGCUAUUCUACUUGAUAGGUUAGAAAAUCUUAUAGGAAUUAAAGGAUCAGCCCUCACCUGGUUCAGAUCUUAUCUGAGAGAUCGAUUCCAGUGUGUUUAUUUAAAUAACGAAUGCUCUUAUCAGGCUAGAGUAAAAUAUGGUGUCCCUCAAGGAUCAAUACUAGGUCCAUUACUCUUUACUCUUUAUAUGCUACCACUGGGUAAAAUUAUCCGUAGGCAUGGUAUUAACUUCCACUGCUAUGCUGAUGACACGCAACUUUACAUAUCUGCUAAACCCAACGAGGAGCUCUGUAUAAAUCAAAUAACAGACUGUAUUAAAGAGAUUAAAAAUUGGAUGACACACAACUUUCUCUUACUUAAUUCUGACAAAACUGAGGUCCUUCUAUUAGGUCCUAAUAUUGAUAAAAACAUAAAUGUUAAUACUGUAGACAUAGACGGUCACUUAAUUAUACCUGGGAAAACUGUGAGAAACCUUGGGGUCAUCUUUGACCCAAUUCUUUCAUUUGAUGCUCACAUAUGUAGCAUAGUCAAAAUUGCAUUCUUCCAUUUAAGAAAUAUAGCCAAAAUCCGCAGCAUACUCUCUCUGGAAGAUGCUGAGAAGCUGGUACAUGCAUUCAUAACCUCCAGGCUGGACUACUGCAACACGUUGUUGGCUGGAAGUCCACAUAAUUUACUCCAUAAACUCUAGUUCAGAAUGCAGCCGCAAGAGUGCUUACCAGAGCUAGAAAGUUCGAUCACAUUACACCUAUUCUUUCAUCCCUACACUGGCUACCUGUUAAAUUUCGUAUAGAUUAUAAAAUACUUCUCCUGACGUAUAAAUCCCUCAAUGGUCUGGCCCCGCAUUAUCUACAGGAACUCCUUACUCCUUACAAUCCGCCACGUUCACUCCGCUCCCAAGACGCUGGCCUGUUAUUAGUCCCGCGUAUUAGAAAAAACUAUGCAGGAGGAAGAGCGUUCUUUUAUAAAGCUCCCCAACUUUGGAAUAACCUCCCUAUUGAUAUACGGGACUCAGACACACUCUCAAUCUUUAAGACUAGACUCAAAACAUUUCUAUUUGCUCAAGCUUUUGAGUAAUGUCUCAUUACAAUUUUCUUCCUCUUACAGCUUAUCUAGCAAGUUUAAACCCUGUCCUAAUCAUCUGCUUUCUCUUUCUCUCCCCAUGUCCUGAGCUGCUGCUGCCAAGUGCCCAUCACAUUCCAGCAGAGUUUUAUAAAACCAUUCUAACCCCUUUUUUCUUCCCUCCCCUCUCUGUUCUCUCUCUCUAUCUUUCUCACAUGUGCUGAGACGCCUGGCCGGCCGGUCUUCCUGGAUGCGUCCGUCUGUGGUUCCAGCUUUCAGGAAUCAGCCCUGUCCUUCUACUCAGAAUUAUUACACAGCCCUUCUAACUUCUGCUUUUUUUUUCUCUUCCUCUCCUUUCUGUUUUCUCUAUCUAUCUCUUUUACAUGUAUGGAGAUGCUGUUCCUGAUGUUCCCAGCCUGGCUCUCCACUGCCCGCUGUGUUGUACUCCAGCUCUGCAACCCUGCACUGAUUAACAUUAACACACUCAGUAUCUGUUUCUGUAUUAGCCAUAGCUCUAUAGUUUGUGCCCAUCACAUUCUUAUAUUCAUAAAUUAGUACCUGUUAUAUUAGCCAUAGUUCACAUUAAUUCUCUGUACUGUUUUUGUUCUGUUAUUUGUUUGUUGUUUGUUUGUACUGAGCGGGUCAACCCGAGUAGGAUGGGUUCCUCGGACUGAGUCUUGGUUCCUUCCAAGGUUUCUUCCUCUUAAAGGGAGUUUUUCCUUGCCACUGUGUCACCAUAAAAUUGGCAUCUCUGUGGUGCUGCUCAUAAGAGGCGUGGACCUGUUUUUCCUGUAAAGCGGCUUUGUGACAACCUUUGUUGUAAAAAGCGCUAUAUAAAUAAAAUUGAAUUGAAUUGAAUAAUAUAAGCAGAUACUGUUGCUGCUCUAGACAUUUGGUAUUAUUAGUAGGCGCUGUAACUAUUAUGAACUUCUCCUAGUUGUAUAAAUAAUAGUUCUGGUAUGAUACAGUGGUUGUAAGGAUUUGUUCUUAAUGCAGAUGUAAAUGAUGACAAUUCUAGCAUUGGAUAACAGGUGUGCCUUGCCAGGCAGGGGGCUGUAUUCCCAUAGAUUAAUGAUUUGUUAUUAAUACAGAAAGAAAUAAUUGACAAAAGAUCUGGUUAAUAUAUUGGGCGUUUCAUGUUGAAAGUUGCGGGCUUUAAGAAGCGUGACUGGGACCAUAUGGAAAACCUUCAUUAGCGCGUGAGUGUUAGUUUAAAAUAAAUGAGUAGCUUAAAAGUGUGAACGGGGGUCCUUAGGUAUAGUCGAAGGCGGACCGGGAGCGGUAUCUCGUGGGUGGGCAGCGACCCACUGCUUGUGUGCAUUGCUUAUUCGUGUCUUGUCUGGGGUAAAAGAAAACAAAUGAAAAGGGGUAUACAUAGCAGUAUAAACUAUAAGUUUGAGGGAAGUGAGUAUGUGGCCAAUAAGUGUGAGAGAGUAUGCGUGUAUGUGUGCUUAUUCCAGGGACUGAGUGUGUCUGACUUUGUGAUUGUGUAUGUGCGACUGACAGAGAGACAAAGAAAAGGGUCUACGAGUGUCUGUUACAGGGAUUAAAAGUGUACCUGUGAGUGUGAAAGUGUGCGUGUCCAGUUUUCCUGUGAGAGAAACAGAAAAUGUGUAUCUUGUGUGGCAGAGGUAAGAAUGUGUGUGUGGCAGUGAGUGAGAAAGUGUAUGGCAGCGAAUUAGACAGUGUGUGUAAGACAGAAGUGUGUGCGUAUGUGUUGGAGUGUGUGUGAAACUGUGUGUGAGCGGAGCUCCUGUGAGCAGUGUGAUUGGUUGAGUGUACGAAAUCUUGUGUGACAACGAAAUAGGAAUGGAUGAGUCCCACUGCAGGGGAGGAGUCCAAGGUGAAGUAGGGAAAUAGAGUAAUACACAGUGAAAAUGGGGGACAGAGGUGAACAGGGGGAAAAGGCUUUUGUAUGGGUAGAUAGAUAUAUAUAGAUAUAAGAAAAUAUAAGGAUAUAAAAAAUCUAACUAUACAAGGUAAAGAUCUAUCUGUAAACGGAGCGGUGCAGUAGAUGUUAUUAAUGGUCAUAAAUAAUUAAAUAAUUAACAGAGUAAAGUGCAAUGACAUCUAUUACGACAGUGACUAAUGUGAAAUAGAAAUAUAAUAUAAUAUAAAUAUGCAUACGUUAUUAGACAGUUCUAAAAUGAAAAUGUGAAAAUGUGAAUACCCAAUCAUGAGUAAAGUAUACUUUAAUGUAAGCAAGGUUGGGGAAGUGUUAAUAUAAAUAAUUAAGUUGUUGAAUAAUGGUGGGUGACUGGAUAGAUAAUUAGAGAAUUUAGAGAAUUUAAUAAAAGGAUUAUGGGGUUGGUUAGCAACACAAAUACAAAAUAAAAAAAGAAAAGGGGGAGUCAGAAUUGAGGGAAAUAAUUAGCUUAAUUUUCGGUAUUGGACUAUAUCUUGGGGGCCCUAACCUAACAGGGACAUAUGUCUAACUCUAUAUUCUAUAAGCAAAGCUAAUAAUGAAAAAAUGACUGUGUGUGGCUGUUUCGGAAUCGUUUCCUAUUGCAGAAAUACUAAGCAAUUUGGAUUGGCCAUUUUUACAAUGCUUUGUCGAAACUCAGCAGUAUAUUUUUUCCCCAUAUAGUUCACUAUUAAUUACAUUAUAUUAUAAUAAUAUUGUACAGAAGAUGUAUGCUAGAAAUUCCAAAAUAUACUAUGCCAUGCAGUACUGCUGUAUAAGAUGUCCUCAGAGCAGGAAAAAUAAACAUGGUUUCUUGUUUGAUUCUUAAAUAAUCAGUUCAAUAAAUAGAAAAAUGCUACAUAGUGAAUAGUGAAUGAGUCAAUAAGUGAGCCAUUCCAAACACAGCUUUUUCUAUCAGGUGAUUUAGUCAAUUAUCUUACUAUUCGUUUCUUAUUCAGACUGAUCUCAGUUCAGUCCUAGCUGAAAGAGACUUAUAUAAGACAGAUGUAAUAUCUAAUUUCUCUAUGAUCUCAUGGAUAUCCGUCUAUGCUAAUAUUUUGAUUAUCUUAAGAGCGAUAGUGGAUUUCAGAAACCAGUGAGGAAAGACCUUAUUUUUAUUUUUUUAUUAUUAUUUUUUAAAGGAAACGCAGUGUUGCAUCUAUUUCAAGCUACACGGAAUUGGGUAUCUUUCUGAUAAGGGGACAUAAUCAAAUAUAUUAAAAAAUUGAGCUUUCUAUUUUGCUUUCAAUAAGCUUUACUUUCUGCAAUGAAGAACUUGCUUUACUUUCUGCAAUGAAGAACUUGCUUUACUUUCUUUCUGUAUAGUAUUAAAUUAGACUAAAAAGAGAUCUGGAAAACAGCAUAAAUAAAAUUGCAAGCAAUAUAAAAUUGUUUCAUCUGCAUAAUGGUAAAGUUUGCAAUCUGAGAAGCAGAGCCAGCACUAUAAUUUAUGUAUAUAUAUAUUAAAUAAAACUGGACCAAAAUUUAACCUUGUGGUACAUCUGUGAGAUACAGAUGCCAAAUCUGAAUAAUUCAUUGACAUGCACUCUUUUGGGUCUAUUUCUGAGCAGUGGCAUCAAAGCAAAUAAUUUAAGCUAAAUUAAGUGGAAGAGAAGGGGUGAUAAUGAUGGUAAUAAAUAAAAUAUGUAUACAAUAAUAACAAAUAAUAAACCAUGGGUACUUGGUGCCUUGCACAGGCUUUCACGGUAAACACCAGAGUGUGCGUUUAUGACAGUGUGACAUACCUGGGUUUGCGUUCCCUGGCUGUUCCCUGCGGGGGCACUACGGCGCUGAAUGUUGAUUAAACAGUGCUGCUACGCUGUGUGGUUCAGUGUGAUAGGCUGGUUAGCCAAAGACGGGUAAGAUCCCAACGUACUACAACGGGACAACCUAAGGCAGGCACAGUCUCGAUCUGACCACCACAUGCAUUUUAACAGAAAACGGAGACAACAUCGUGGAAGGGAAGCGCAGCCCAGGGGGAGAGUGAGUGGAUGAAUGAAGUGAUGGGGUGUGUCAGUGGAGGCCUGGGCAGGGCAGACCGGCCCAAUGGACAGUAAAGAGGGUGAAGCAAUUUUGCGUUAAGUUCUCUGAAACAGAAAUUCUGUUUCAGAAAAAGGGGGAGAGGUAAAUAGAUGAUCAUUAUUACCACCAUUAUUUGACCAAUAAUUAUUUUAUACUUUUUAUCUUUUUUAAACCUAUUACCUUUUUCAUCCCUCACCACUAUUACUAAAAUUUUUGACCAAUCAUUAUUUUAUAGAUAUAGAGCAUUUUUUAAACUUUUAGCUUGUCUAUCUUUUUAAAGUUUGGUUUUAAAACAACCUCUAUGCAGAUGAGCGAUUACUUUCAGCAAUAUUGUAAAAGUUUUAGCUUUUAAGACAAACUCAAUCCUAACUUUAAAAUAUGAAAUGUAGACACAAAAUUAAACUUUCACUAUUCAACAUGUAAGCCAUUUUUUGAACAAGAGGAACAAUGUGUGGGGCUUGAUAAAUUGUUUAAGGAGAUAGAUGUAUUGUUGAUAAUUGUGAAAAGCAAUCUGCUGUGCAUUGCAUAUGCAUAAAUACAUAUUGAACAUAUUGAUCAGUAAAUGAAAAGCAUUGUUUGAAUUUUAUUUGCUAAAAUAACGUGGACAAAGCAAAGCAUAACAUCUGUGUUUAUUAAUAUUGAUAAUAUUAUUGUUUGUAAUGGAACGAUUGAUACAGAGAAAAAUAAUCACGUUCCACUUCUCCCAAUUUUUAAAGUACUAAAUAAAAUCAACUAAAUAUAGAAAUCAAGUCUUUAUAAAAUCUUGGGAAUUGAAAAAGUCAGAAACAUAAUUUCUUAGUAAAAUAGCACACCGCAGAAAAUUAAAGUGGCAGGUAAAAUAAUAUAGCCACAAGCGGUGAUUCUAAAGUCCAAGCAAAAGUAACCCAAGAAAGCCCAAUACAUCAAUAUGGAACCAUUCCUGAGACAGAAGCCACAUUAUGUGUAGUUUGUGCUGAGUUUAAAACUUUGGGCCCUGAUAUUCUAUCAAUCAGUGUGGGAUGAAUGGGAGAAUAGAGCAGCUGGUCAUUAAAACUUUGCAUGGAGCAAUAAUAAUAAACAUGAUUCAGAUAUAUUUCCAAAUGUUUGUUCCUUAUUUAUUAUUUAUAUAGUAUUAUCAAUACAAUAUAAGAAGAUAUGCAGGAAGCACUCAGUGGGAGGUUUAACAGCAGGUGCGUUUAAAGCAGCAGCUUUGGGCUGUGAAGCAGUAAAAUAUGGUCUGUACGAUGAUACUGCAGAGUUGAGGUGUGUUUUGGUAGUGUUUGUGAGAGUGGAAGUGUUUGAGUUUGUGAGUGUGUGCAUGCACGAGAAAUAGUGUGUGUCUAGUGGUAAACUGGGUGGUGAACAUUAGUAGUGUUUGUAAGAUCUAAUUUGGAUAUAACAGAGCCACAGGGAAGCAGUUACACUAAAAGGAAAAGGAAUGUGAACAAAAGGAGGCUAAAAGCCAGUAAUUAAUGGUGAUGAUAAUUAAAUGUUGCAAUUUAAAAUUGAAAAUUCCUAAAAGUUAGGGAUUUAAAGAAAUGACUAAAUGCUACAGAUUUAAAGCACUUUUGACAGUAAAGAUCAUGAUUGAGUAUAACUGAAAAUCAGGACAACUGAAGAAGGUUAGAAAACAAAAUUGGGCUUAAAUCUGUGCACAGACAAAAUUUAAAUAUGAAAUAAUUAACUUCCAAGGGGAAAUUAGAGCUCAAGUUAAGUGUGAUAAAUGUAUUUUAACCAUGUACUUUAACUUACAGGAAGGAGACACGGAGGACGUCUUAAAAGACUUCCAAAAUGAAUAGUGAACCUUAAACAUGAUUAUAACGAAUACAAAAGUUUCGUUUCAGAUCUGUUUACACAGGGGGAGAAGGAGAACGUGGUGCAAAGGUGGACCAGUCCAGACACAAAGUCAGGGCUCCUCCGCCACUACGCACGAAAGGGGAACGAGCAUGGCUGGAUUGAGCCUUUCCAGGUGACUGAGAGAACAACGUACGCAGAUCAACUGAUAGGCGAGGGUUCUACAGCUGUGCAGCAACAGAGAUCGCUCACAGAGCAGCAGGAGGAGACGAGACAGCUGAGAAGUCUGACCCUGCAGCAGCAGCAGCAGGAAGGAGGGGCAGCAGAACCCCCGCAGCACGGGCCUGGCCUGGCCACAGCAGAGAAAAGAUUUCUCAGAGCACAGCAGCAGACAGCACACAGCCUGGCUGUGACCAAGUAGAGGAAUUGAGGGAGUGACUCAUUCAACAACGUUUCGAUUGCGUCAAAGUACACUACAUACAGAGACUCUUAACACAUCUCAUUAAAAACACACAUAGUCUUAUCACACAUCAACUCAUACUUUUCAUUCACUGAUACUGCAGACAUCAAGAGCCAGAAUAAAGCUCUUCGUACGUGGGGCUGAGGUAGUCUACCUUCCUAACCCUGAAACAAGAAGAAAGAAGAAACGAACAACACGCAUUGCAACUUUAACAUUUACACAUAUAGGGUUAUAAACUGUGAUUUGCUAAAUUAGGGGGGGGGAACACAUUAUUUUUCUUUACAGGUUGUCCUGGACAUUGUUUUCCCUUACAGGUUGCCUUGGAAUCUUGCAAAAACGAAAUUGUAAAAAAAAAAAAAAAUAUAUAUAUAUAUAUACACUCUGUAACCUUAACACUUACACAUAUAGAGCUAUAGAUAACAAGUUUACUAAAUAGUGGAAAACUUAGAGGGAAAACACAUUUAUGGUUUAAUAAUGGCUUGGUACGGAAAAAGAGGGUGGGACAGGUCAAAGUACGGACACUAUAACGAACCAGGAUUUCCUCUGGUUAUUCCAAUAUGGCUCCAGAUAAUAAUAACAGUUGCCCUCAUGGGUAUAAUGAUAAUAACACUGACCAUUGUCUCAAAACAAGAACAACUAACAACGGUAGAGGGAACAAUUGUAAACACAUCAGCAACCGUACACCCGACAAACGCAACAACUACAGACCAGCCCACACAGCUUAAUAGAACCAAACGAUCAACCAUCAUUCAGCCUAACUCAAAAUGCAUCAGGCGCUGGGGAGGUAUAGAAUUAGACUAUUAUUGGGGUGAGAUGACCAUAUGGACAGUGAACUUAUGCGACGUGGUUACUUGUGGUAAGCAGGGGUCCAAGGGGGAAGCAGUGUACUUGUGUUGGUCCCGUGAUGAUAAUCUUAAGUGUAACCAUAAGGGUGAUUCUCACGAAGACCUUCACAUUAACAUAAAAAAGUUUUUCACCUCAUUGCAGCAUUUUUAUUUUAUUUUUUUCUCAAGUUGAGAAGCUAAAAUAGAAUGUGUAUUUUACUAUAUUGUUUAUUUUUUCAUAUAUAUUUUUUUUAAAAUAGAAUUUUAUUAUCAUUUGAAUCUUAUAUGAUCCAGAAUAAUUCUCAUUACCGUUACAGUAAAUGACGAAGCUAGAUCAACGGUUCAAAACAUUUUUUGAUGAUUAAUUUCAUAUUUCCACAACAAAUCCCAUCAACUUAACAGCACAGUCCUUGACAAUUACUUUGAUCUUUUUUAUUUAUUUAUUUAUAGUUAAGCAACUCUCAUUACCGAUACAACAUUUGUAAAAUAUCUUUUAAUUUUUUUUUUUUUUUUUAAAUUAAUGGAAAUUAUUUUAGAAUAUGUUUGAUCAAAAACUCAUGUGGACAACAGGUGAGGGGUAUACUAUAGUAAAAUGAAGAAAAGUUAUUAUAAGAUGUGAAACAUUUAAAAAAAAUUAACAUUUUAGAUCCAUAACGGUAAUGAGAACAAAAGUAAACGGUAAUGAGAUGCUCUUAGCUAAUUUCACAAAUAACUUAAAAUGCUAAUAUGCUAACAACCUAUAACUUUGCCAGCUGUCAAAGCCUUAUAUUGUGAUAAUAUUCAUGAAAUAAUUUAUUUUUAUAUUUUUAAAAGUAAUGAGUAUUAAACCAUAACGGUAAUGAUAAUACACAGUGUAACUGAGGACAGUUUUAGCAAUAUUAACACAGAUUUCUCAAAGGGAGAGAAUAGUGACCAACUGACCUUAUCUCCAUUUUGAAGCUUGUCUCUGAAGUGAUGCAUCAUGGGAUAGCUGAUCAAUUUAAAGGCACAGUGUAAUUUUUUUAGGGGGGUAAAAUCAUGAAACGGUAAUGAGAAAAAAUUGUUCGGACACAGUUAUUUUGUUUAAAAUCAAGUACAUUUUUUUUUGUUCAACACAAAAAAUAUUUAUAUUAUGUAUAAAUGUUGAUACUUUAAAUGACUUUAAUCUAUUUUAUUGAUUCGAUAUGCUUAGUACUUUUAAUAUGGUUUAACUUAAAAUUAGAAAGAAGGGGUACGGACACAUAACGGUAAUGAGAAUUUCCAUAUAUUUUUUAUUUAAUUUAUAUAAAAAUAAUUUUCUAUGAUGAUGAAAACAAUUGAUCCAUACAGUACUACCUAUUUGCUUUACACACAAUAUCAGAGUUUUUGUGAAUUAAGUACUGAUUUUAAAAAAUUGUCAUGGACAUGUUCCCUGCAGCUUCAUGAGAAUCACCCAUAACACCGACCAAGCAGCUUAUAAAGCCAGACCUUGUAACAAGUGGGAACACGUAAUUAGGUCGACACAUGUCAAUUGGGAUUGGCCUAUACUGGAGUGUGAGGAAGAGCAAGAGGAAAUGCUGUAGACCAACCAGUCUUGGGGAUGACUUUAAGGCAAUGAUGUCACUUCCUCCUUUGAUAGAGUUCGAAUUAUUAGCCGCCUGGUGGCAGAGGGGCUGUGGGAGAAUUUUUCCUGUCAAAAUUGGUUGGAAGGCUGCCAGAACAGGUUUUCGCUCCCACCAUUAGUAAAAUGUUCACACACAUGUUUGUCAAGUGUUGAACAUAUGUAAAUACAUAUUUGGAGGAAUUACGAUGUGUUGACGUAUCUGGUUGAUACGUCAAAAGGGAGAAUUGAAGAGUAACUGUUUAUUUUACCUUAAGUGUAUCGACAAAUAUCUUUCAAUUAUGAUUACUUAUCUUAGUAUCUGUAUUUACAUAAUCAUUGUGUGAAACCUUGUAUUCUAUAUGCAUAACCAAUACUCACAUUGUAUUUGAUCAUUUGUAUUACUCACAGUGUAUUUUACACGCAUUUAUAUAGAAGAUUAACCAAUACUCACAAUAUAUAUUAUUUACACAUAUAGAUAAACAUUGUUUAAUCAGGCAUGUGACUAACACAUUUAUUAUGACAAAUUAACCCACAUGAUACAUAAGACGUAUAUUAACACAUAAGACCUAUUAUAUGGCGGACUAACCACGCGCUGCUAACACAGUAACAUAUGACAUAUAGAGCCCAUUGUGGGACGCAUACAGCUUAUGCUUGAAGCAUUUUGCUCAACUGCAUGUUUCUGACUAACGGCCAUCAAUCAUCCGCUAGUACACUCUGUACGAACUGAAUUGAUACAAAGGAGGCUUCGGGACGAACAGUGUGGCCUUUCUCUCUGUGCGCGCAAAGUCCUUCACCUACCAAAGCGGGAGGACGCGCGCACAUAGGGAGGGCGGCACUGUCUAAUUUACUGAAACAAUAUCACACUGUCUGACUGGACCCAGUCAAUUCUUGAAACAAUACCACACUGUCCGGCUGGAUACAGUCAAGGCCAAACACUGAUGGUCCGGUCAGACACGUGAAAUGGAUUACUAACACGUGAAAUUACGCAUGCUAACAUGAGAUGAUUUUAGCAACGCCUCAUCAGCAGGUUUCACGUCAUUUGGGGUAUAAACAUGGAGUCAGAUCAGAGGGGGGUCAGAACUUAUGCGGGGACGGCUGUUAGACGGUCUUUCAUGUGUGGGUUCUCCUGAAUAUUCAGCACUUUGUAAUAAAUGCUUGGUUUGCUUUCAACUUCA